rnacentral:rRNA from 1 species
CCUACGGGAUGCUGCAGUGGGGAAUUUUGGACAAUGGGGGCAACCCUGAUCCAGCCAUGCCGCGUGAGUGAAGAAGGCCUUCGGGUUGUAAAGCUCUUUCGGCCGGGAAGAAAUCGCUCAAGCUAAUACCUUGGGUGGAUGACGGUACCGGAAGAAGAAGCACCGGCUAACUACGUGCCAGCAGCCGCGGUAAUACGUAGGGUGCGAGCGGUAAUCGGAAUUUCUGGGCGCAAAGCGUGCGCAGGCGGGGGAAAUCCCCGGGCUUAACCUGUGAACUGCGUUUGUGACUGUGGUGCUCGAGUGCGGGAGCGGGGGGUGGAAUUCCACGUGUAGCAGUGAAAUGCGUAGAGAUGUGGAGGAACACCGAUGGCGAAGGCAGCCCCCUGGGUCGACACUGACGCUCAUGCACGAAAGCGUGGGGAGCAAACAGGAUUAGAUACCCCAGUAGUC